AGCUUUUACGUCGACACGGACGAAAUUCUUUUUGACGGCUGUCAUCGCCUUCUCUUGGAAGAGACCUUCAGACACGACUACAAAACAACCUUCCUUAUCAGAAGUCGUCAUCCUGGAAAGCAUAUCCAUACACUCUGUGAUGAAACGUGGACGCUCUUCUACAGCCACACGACGCGCCAUGGACUUGGUCAGUGCUACUUUUUCUGGUUGUGGGAAGGCCGGCUCGAAGCAGAACUUCGGACCGAGUUCAAGAAUCCUUUUGAAGUUCUCGGGAACAGUGGUGUCUCCUAAGGCGCUGCCUUCCAAUGGUUUGUGCUUCUUUUGUCUAGAUUUGUUAUUUGGUCAUCAAGGUGACUAUCGCUUUAUGAUCCCUAUGAUAUACGACCAGUGGCGCUGUAGUGACACCGUAAGGUCAUCGGCCAAUGUG